AUUGAACGCUGGCGGCAUGCUUUACACAUGCAAGUCGAACGGCAGCACGGGUGCUUGCACCUGGUGGCGAGUGGCGGACGGGUGAGUAAUACAUCGGAACGUGUCCAGAAGAGGGGGAUAACGCAUCGAAAGAUGUGCUAAUACCGCAUACGCUCUGAGGAGGAAAGUGGGGGAUCGAAAGACCUUACGCUUUUGGAGCGGCCGAUGUCUGAUUAGCUAGUUGGUGGGGUAAGGGCCUACCAAGGCGACGAUCAGUAGUUGGUCUGAGAGGACGACCAGCCACACUGGGACUGAGACACGGCCCAGACUCCUACGGGAGGCAGCAGUGGGGAAUUUUGGACAAUGGGCGCAAGCCUGAUCCAGCAAUGCCGCGUGAGUGAAGAAGGCCUCGG
rnacentral:rRNA from 1 species